GUGCCUAAUACAUGCAAGUCAACGGCUUUUCUAUGGAAGCUUGCUUCCACUGAGAAGAUAGUGGCGAACGGGUGAGUAACACGUGGGUAACCCUGCCCAUAAGAGGGGGAUAACAUCCGGAAACGGGUGCUAAUACCGCAUAGUUUUCUUGAUCGCAUGAUCGGAAAGGAAAGACGGCCUUUGUGCUGUCGCUUAUGGAUGGACCCGCGGCGUAUUAGUUAGUUGGUGAGGUAACGGCUCACCAAGACGAUGAUACGUAGCCGACCUGAGAGGGUGAUCGGCCACAUUGGGACUGAGACACGGCCCAAACUCCUACGGGAGGCAGCAGUAGGGAAUCUUCCGCAAUGGACGAAAGUCUGACGGAGCAACGCCGCGUGAGUGAAGAAAGGUUUUCGGAUCGUAAAACUCUGUUGUCAGAGAAGAACAAGUUGGAGAGUAACUGCUCCAGCCUUGACGGUAUCUGACCAGAAAGCCACGGCUAACUACGUGCCAGCAGCCGC
rnacentral:rRNA from 1 species